rnacentral:antisense_RNA from 1 species
CUUGACCGAGCCGAGCCACAGCGGCUGCCGCGGGUCCCGGCCCUGGCCGUAGGUGGCCAGCAGUGCCUGCGCCUC